GGUACUCGAGUGGCGAACGGGUGAGUAACACGUGGGUGAUCUGCCUUGCACUUCGGGAUAAGCUUGGGAAACUGGGUCUAAUACCGGAUAGGACAGCUGUUUAGUGUCAGUUGUGGAAAGUUUUUUCGGUGCGAGAUGAGCUCGCGGCCUAUCAGCUUGUUGGUGGGGUAAUGGCCUACCAAGGCGUCGACGGGUAGCCGGCCUGAGAGGGUGUACGGCCACAUUGGGACUGAGAUACGGCCCAGACUCCUGCGGGAGGCAGCAGUGGGGAAUAUUGCACAAUGGGCGGAAGCCUGAUGCAGCGACGCCGCGUGGGGGAUGAAGGCCUUCGGGUUGUAAACUCCUUUCGACAGGGACGAAGCGUAAGUGACGGUACCUGUAUAAGAAGCACCGGCUAACUACGUGCCAGCAGCCGCGGUAAUACGUAGGGUGCGAGCGUUGUCCGGAAUUACUGGGCGUAAAGAGCUCGUAGGUGGUUUGUCGCGUCGUCUGUGAAAUUCCGGGGCUUAACUCCGGGCGUGCAGGCGAUACGGGCUGACUUGAGUGCUGUAGGGGAGACUGGAAUUCCUGGUGUAGCGGUGAAAUGCGCAGAUAUCAGGAGGGACACCGAUGGCGAAGGCAGGUCUCUGGGCAGUAACUGACGCUGAGGAGCGAAAGCAUGGGUAGCGAACAGGAUUAGAUACCCUGGUAGUCCAUGCCGUAAACGGUGGGCGCUAGGUGUAGGGGGCUUCCACGUCUUCUGUGCCGUAGCUAACGCAUUAAGCGCCCCGCCUGGGGAGUACGCCGCAAGGUAA
rnacentral:rRNA from 1 species